rnacentral:rRNA from 1 species
GUCUCUAGUUGCCAGCGCGUAAUGGCGGGAACUCUAGAGAGACUGCCGGUGCCAAACCGGAGGAAGGUGGGGACGACGUCAAGUCAUCAUGGUCCUUACGUCUAGGGCUACACACGUGCUACAAUGGAAUGGGACAGAGGGGCGCAAGACCGCAAGGUGGAGCAAAUCCCAAAACCCUUCCUCAGUUCGGAUUGUCGUCUGCAACUCGACGGCAUGAAGCUGGAAUCGCUAGUAAUCGUGGAUCAGCUACGCCACGGUGAAUACGUUCCCGGGCCUUGUACACACCGCCCGUCACGCCAUGGAAGUGGCGAGCGCCCGAAGUCCGUGUCGGAACCCGCAAGGGGCCAAGCGGCCGAAGGCGAGCGUCAUGACUGGGGCG